CGGGAUGAUGACCCACAGUGGUUUCGCUCAUUGGCCUGAGCCCCAGUGAUGUCACUUCCUCUUGGCUGUCUGACCUG
rnacentral:snoRNA from 13 species